AUUGCACGCUUGCGGCAGGCCUAACACUUGCAAGUCGAGCGGAACGGCGUACGGGUGAGUAAUGCCUAGGCACCUGCCCCGUAGUGGGUGAUAACGUCGGGAAACGGGAGCUAAUACCGCAUACUAUCAGAUGGGCUUAGGUCGGAUUAGCUGGUUGGUGGGGUAAAGGCCUGCAAAGGCGACGAUCCGUAACUGGUUUGGGAGGAUGAACAGCCACACUGGAACUGAUACACGGCCCAGACGCCUACGGGAGGCAGCAGUGGGGAAUAUUGGACAAUGGGGGAAAGCCUGAUCCAGCCAUGCCGCGUGUGUGAAGAAGGCCGUCGGGUUGUAAAGCACUUUAAGUUGGGAGGCGUUACCUACAGAAUAAGCACCGGCUAACUUCGUGCCAGCAGCCGCGGUAAUAC
rnacentral:rRNA from 1 species